GUCAGGUCUACUGUUAUAGAGCAUAACAUUAAACAUAUAACAUUUCAACAAUAUUUAUCGUAACAUUUGAGUGAAAUCGCAUUAUUUGUGAUGCCUUUAUACAGUAUUACCCUGCUGAUCUGUUUUCAGAUGAAACUAACUGUGGCCUAUUCUCAGUGCAGAGCACGAGGAGCUGCUCUCCCUCAGCGUCGACGCUGCAGCGCCCUCUGCUGUUUACAGGUGCACACACUAAUUGUGUUCAGGUGUGAACUAUCAGCGCCGCUGUGUGUGUGCGUGUGCGUGUGUGUUUACUGAGGCUGCUGUAAAACACUUCAUCAUCAUCAUCAGACACACACUCAUGAUCCAGAACAGGCUGAGACAGGCUGAGGCUGAUGGAUCCACAUGUACCUGUAGUGUUCCUGAAGAUGGUGCAGAUCAAACACCUGGAAAAGCAGCAGCACAGUGUUCUGGCAGCACCGGAGGGCAUGAGGGUGUCUCCGCAGCCCCCCGCGCCCCCACAGCGCCCCCUGCGCACACACUCCCGCUCCAGACCAGCCGGACAGCGCACACACAUACUCUCAGCAGCACUGUGGAGCCGCCCGGGGGCCGGUCACAGCGCACACACACACAAUCUGCUGAAGAUGGAAGUGAAGCCAUAGACAUCAAUGCCAAAGAGCUGUUGGAGGAGAAGCGACGCUACGAUCUCUCCUGCCCCCCUGUGGUGACCUACGGCACGUACCGAGGCCUGAGGGAAGCAAGAAAACCAAAGAAGAAGCAUAGCAUCGAGCUUCAUUCCCCCAUAUGUGAAGGAGACGAGCCUGCACACCCCGAGCAGACCUGCUGUUUCACUGUAAACACCAUGAGCACGGACCUGCAGGAGAGUCCCAGUGUGCUAAACCAGAGCUCUCCUCCAUGGACACAGCAGAUGGAGGACGUGUUGUUGACUCAGGGGGUUUUACUAGCCCAGGAUCCCACUGUUGAAUCUCCAGCACUCCCUCAUCCCACAUACUCAAACUGGUCCAUUACCUGUGUAGAGAUGGAACCAGUCUACACACUCCCUCAAGCAGAACCAAGACCACCCAAACACCUGGUGUACACCCAACAGGAGCAUCUUGAUCUGAACGCUGCGCCAGAGACCCAAUCAAACACACAAUCAGCCUCCAACACACACCGUCCACACACCGCUCACACUCCAGAACCCGAGCAGAACAGUGCGGAGGUGUGUGUAGUUGCAGACAGGACUGAUGAUCGGCAGGAGUCUGAUCCCGAGCCAGUGGAGCGGCAGGCUGGGGUGGAGGAACAGCUCCUGCGGGAGGAGUCUAGACUGAUGGUGGACGGCAUCUUGGCCAGCGCUCUCUCCGCUCUGCAGGAGAUGGAGGAUUCAGAGCGAGGUGUCCUGCUGACCGUCGAGCUUACCUCAGAGUCAGGUCUGAUGGAGGAUAACAGAGCUGCAGAUGCAGAGCUGCAGUGCGGCGUGGAUCCAUCCGGCCGGACUGCGUCUGAUGUACUGGAGCCACCAGCAGGUGCUCUGGGAGACUGCAGCCGCUCCCUGCCUUCCUCCGGGUACGAGUCCAUCGCCGGCUCCGACUCCGACAUCAGGGGUUUUGUGUGCGCAGCAUCUGAAGUGUGUUCUGCUCCUGCUGCGGUCAGCUCCCAGAGCCAGAAUCCGGCCCGUGUUGAUUAUUCCUGUGAAGGGAAGAGUGCGGAUCCUGCUGAGAUCAGAUCAGUCCACAGCCCUGCCUCAUCAGAGGAGUCUCUCUUUCAGGAGAAGCAUGCGGCUGAUGUUUGCGUGUGUACAGACAGCAGUGUGAAUACGUCUCAGGAUACAGCCACGGAGCAUGUGUUGAGCAAUAACUGUGGACACUCUCCGCACGGUGCUGCAAUAUCAGCGGAUCAGGAGCGUCUUCAGCAAAGCCAAUCUCUCAGUGACAGCGACAGCCACAGCUUCACCUCUGAUUCAGGUGUGGUGUCAGAACUCAGAGCACCAGCCGUACACAGCCAUGAAUCCAUGGAGCCUGAAGCCCCUUAUUCAGGUGAGCAGGAGCUCUGUUACUCUCAGGCCGCAGCAGAUCUGAGUGUCCUGCUUUCUGGCACUGAACCCCAGUGUUCUGCAGUCCAGCCCGGGUCUCCGCCAUGGGUCUCGGUGCGAGCGGUCUGCUACAGCAUCACCGAUGACCAGAGCCCGAGUCCAGAGGAGCAUCUAAACCCUGCAGAUGCAGGAAUGUGUGUUUCAGCUCUGGAUUCCCUGAACGCCUCUAUCAGAUCUGCUGCUGUUCCUCUGUUUCUGGAUCCAGACCUGCAGCCGGACGGAGGCUUCUCCAUCAUCAGUGAGGAGGACGAGGGUGAUGUGGUGUUCGUCAAUGACCUGGGGGCUCUGCACAGUCCUAGUGCACGCCGGGCUAAAGCGUACCCCUUCUGCCUGUCCCCCAUAUAUGAGGAGGAGUGUGUGCGCGAGGAGGCCCCGGGCCCCCAGGAGCCCCAGGAGGAGCAGAGGAGCGUGGAGCAGCCGGCCGCCGCCAUACUCUCCCUCCUGCAGUCCGUCAGCGAGAAACUGCAGUCCAGCAUGGACAGAGGAUCAGGGGAGACCUGGAGGAUGGAGCACUGCACACGGAGCCCACAGGACCACCAGGAGGACGUGCGGGUACUGCUAAACCAUCAUAUCCACCAGGAGGACACGGAAGCGCUACUGAGUCACCAGCUCUGCCAGGAGGACACAGGAGCACCACUGAUCCUCCAGGUCCUCCCCGAGCCCAUCGCUGACCCGUCUGAUGAUCACAGCACAGACAGAGAGCAGCAGGAGCCGGAUGCAGAUGUUGGAAAGAGUGCCAACACACCCUUCUAUCAGUACAUGAAAUCUGGACUGAUGCCGUCUGCUGAUGACCACACCACAGCCGCUGUUCAUCCCAGCAUAGCCAACACAGGGGUCACGGUGAGCAGGGUCAGAGCAUUAGUCUGGUUUGAGAUUGGCUUGUAUACGUGUAGAUGA
rnacentral:lncRNA from 1 species